rnacentral:precursor_RNA from 10 species
AGCAGGAGAGGACGGGUGGAGGGGUCGGUCAACUCUGGACCCACUGUCUCAUACAAUGCAUCUGAUAAUUGUGUGAAAGUGAGGCCAGUGUGGUCCGCCUUCUCAUAAAGUCAUCGUCGUCGUC